UGGGGAAUAUUGCACAAUGGGCGCAAGCCUGAUGCAGCAACGCCGCGUGAGGGACGACGGCCUUCGGGUUGUAAACCUCUUUUAGUAGGGAAGAAGCGAAAGUGACGGUACCUGCAGAAAAAGCACCGGCUAACUACGUGCCAGCAGCCGCGGUAAUACGUAGGGUGCGAGCGUUGUCCGGAAUUAUUGGGCGUAAAGAGCUCGUAGGCGGUCUGUCGCGUCUGCUGUGAAAACCCGAGGCUCAACCUCGGGCCUGCAGUGGGUACGGGCAGACUAGAGUGCGGUAGGGGAGAAUGGAAUUCCUGGUGUAGCGGUGGAAUGCGCAGAUAUCAGGAGGAACACCGAUGGCGAAGGCAGUUCUCUGGGCCGUAACUGACGCUGAGGAGCGAAAGCGUGGGGAGCGAACAGGAUUAGAUACCCUGGUAGUCCACGCCGUAAACGUUGGGCGCUAGAUGUGGGGACCAUUCCACGGUUUCCGUGUCGCAGCUAACGCAUUAAGCGCCCCGCCUGGGGCAGUACGGCCGCAAGGCUAAAAC
rnacentral:rRNA from 1 species